rnacentral:pre_miRNA from 1 species
GUAGUAUUCCCUCCGUCCCAAAAUUCUUGUCAUACAUUUGUUUAGAUACGGAUGUAUCUAACACUAAAAUGUAACUAGAUACAUCCGUAUUUAGACAAAUUUAAGACAAGAAUUUUGGGAUGGAGGGAGUACAAA